GGAGAUGUCUGGGUACCUGGUGGGCUCCGCCGCCUUCAAAGCGGUUGGGAUGGGCGAUCCCCAUCCGGCGGGUUCGAUUCCCGUCCAUCUCCGCCA
rnacentral:tRNA from 1 species